rnacentral:rRNA from 1 species
AUUGAACGCUGGCGGAAUGCUUUACACAUGCAAGUCGAGCGGCAGCGCGGGGGCAACCCUGGCGGCGAGCGGCGAACGGGUGAGUAAUACAUCGGAACGUGUCCUUGAGUGGGGGAUAGCUCGGCGAAAGCCGGAUUAAUACCGCAUAAGCUCUGCGGAGGAAAGCGGGGGACUGGUAACGGCCUCGCGCUGUUGGAGCGGCCGAUGUCGGAUUAGCUAGUUGGAGGGGUAAACGGCCCACCAAGGCGACGAUCCGUAGCUGGUCUGAGAGGAUGAUCAGCCACACUGGAACUGAGACACGGUCCAGACUCCUACGGGAGGCAGC